ACGUCUCCAUUCUACGAGCGAUAAAGUUGUGUCGGAGAACGAAAAAAAGUAGGAGUAAACGGAGGCUGAUCGAAAGAAAUGAUAUAAAAUUAGAAUUGUGUACAGUAAAGAAGAAGAUUAGUAAGUAAGGUGUAACGGUGACGAUCUUUUACAACAGGAUGUAGUUAGUAAGAGGAGGCAGAGAAGGAGGCGUAAAAAGUAAGAAGAAAAUUGCAAAGAAAAAAGAAAAAAAAAGAACAAGAAAAGGAACACCAGCGAGAGCCAUUGAUAGAAGCGACGAAGCGAGGUCAGCUAUUUGUACGCGUGACAGACCCCUCCGGAGAAUCUCGUACGUGAACGGUCUUUACAUGACACGACUAAAAACCUUGAACUGUUUUAAAACGUAUAAUCAAAGGAUCAAAAUUCGUGACAAGUGAAGAAGAAGAAGAAGUUGAAGUGAUGAAGGUGAA
rnacentral:lncRNA from 1 species